GUUGGGUAGGGGAGCGUUCUGUAAGCCUGUGAAGGUGGCCUGUGAGGGUUGCUGGAGGUAUCAGAAGUGCGAAUGCUGACAUAAGUAACGAUAAAGCGGGUGAAAAGCCCGCUCGCCGGAAGACCAAGGGUUCCUGUCCAACGUUAAUCGGGGCAGGGUGAGUCGACCCCUAAGGCGAGGCCGAAAGGCGUAGUCGAUGGGAAACGGGUUAAUAUUCCCGUACUUGGUGUUACUGCGAAGGGGGGACGGAGAAGGCUAUGUUGGCCGGGCGACGGUUGUCCCGGUUUAAGCGUGUAGGCUGGUUUUCCAGGCAAAUCCGGUUCACUUUAACACUGAGGCGUGACGACGAGGCACUACGGUGCUGAAGCAACAAAUGCCCUGCUUCCAGGAAAAGCCUCUAAGCAUCAGGUAACAUCAAAUCGUACCCCAAACCGACACAGGUGGUCAGGUAGAGAAUACCAAGGCGCUUGAGAGAACUCGGGUGAAGGAACUAGGCAAAAUGGUGCCGUAACUUCGGGAGAAGGCACGCUGACACGUAGGUGAAGUGAUUUACUCAUGGAGCUGAAGUCAGUCGAAGAUACCAGCUGGCUGCAACUGUUUAUUAAAAACACAGCACUGUGCAAACACGAAAGUGGACGUAUACGGUGUGACGCCUGCCCGGUGCCGGAAGGUUAAUUGAUGGGGUCAGCGCAAGCGAAGCUCCUGAUCGAAGCCCCGGUAAACGGCGGCCGUAACUAUAACGGUCCUAAGGUAGCGAAAUUCCUUGUCGGGUAAGUUCCGACCUGCACGAAUGGCGUAAUGAUGGCCAGGCUGUCUCCACCCGAGACUCAGUGAAAUUGAACUCGCUGUGAAGAUGCAGUGUACCCGCGGCAAGACGGAAAGACCCCGUGAACCUUUACUAUAGCUUGACACUGAACAUUGAGCCUUGAUGUGUAGGAUAGGUGGGAGGCUUUGAAGUGUGGACGCCAGUCUGCAUGGAGCCGACCUUGAAAUACCACCCUUUAAUGUUUGAUGUUCUAACGUGGACCCGUAAUCCGGGUUGCGGACAGUGUCUGGUGGGUAGUUUGACUGGGGCGGUCUCCUCCUAAAGAGUAACGGAGGAGCACGAAGGUUGGCUAAUCCUGGUCGGACAUCAGGAGGUUAGUGCAAUGGCAUAAGCCAGCUUGACUGCGAGCGUGACGGCGCGAGCAGGUGCGAAAGCAGGUCAUAGUGAUCCGGUGGUUCUGAAUGGAAGGGCCAUCGCUCAACGGAUAAAAGGUACUCCGGGGAUAACAGGCUGAUACCGCCCAAGAGUUCAUAUCGACGGCGGUGUUUGGCACCUCGAUGUCGGCUCAUCACAUCCUGGGGCUGAAGUAGGUCCCAAGGGUAUGGCUGUUCGCCAUUUAAAGUGGUACGCGAGCUGGGUUUAGAACGUCGUGAGACAGUUCGGUCCCUAUCUGCCGUGGGCGCUGGAGAACUGAGGGGGGCUGCUCCUAGUACGAGAGGACCGGAGUGGACGCAUCACUGGUGUUCGGGUUGUCAUGCCAAUGGCACUGCCCGGUAGCUAAAUGCGGAAGAGAUAAGUGCUGAAAGCAUCUAAGCACGAAACUUGCCCCGAGAUGAGUUCUCCCUGAGACUU
rnacentral:rRNA from 1 species